rnacentral:rRNA from 1 species
UACAGAGGGUGCAAGCGUUAAUCGGAAUUACUGGGCGUAAAGCGUGCGUAGGCGGUAGCGUAAGUCAGGUGUGAAAGCCCCGGGCUCAACCUGGGAAUGGCAUUCGAGACUGCUCUGCUAGGGUGCGGAAGAGGGGAGCGGAAUUUCCGGUGUAGCGGUGAAAUGCGUAGAUAUCGGAAGGAACACCAGUGGCGAAAGCGGCUCCCUGGUCCAGCACCGACGUUCAGGCACGAAAGCGUGGGGAGCAAACAGG